rnacentral:rRNA from 1 species
GAACGCUGGCGGCGUGCUUAACACAUGCAAGUCGAACGGGCCCGCCCCUGUUUUUGGGGGUGGGUUGAGUGGCGAACGGGUGAGUAUCACGUGAGUAACCUGCCCCCUGCUCCUGGAUAACUGCUUGAAAGGGCGGCUAAUACGGGGUGUGCCGGCUGGUCCGCAUGGGCCUGGUCGGGAUAGUUUCAUCUUCGGGUGUUUCGGUGGGGGAUGGGCUCGCGGCCUAUCAGCUUGUUGGUGGGGUGAUGGCCCACCAAGGCGGUGACGGGUAGCCGGCCUGGGAGGGUGGGCGGCCACACGGGGACUGAGACACGGCCCAGACUCCUGCGGGAGGCAGCAGUGGGGGGUAUUGCACAAUGGGCGGAAGCCUGAUGCAGCGACGUCGCGUGAGGGAUGGAGGCCUUCGGGUUGUGAACCUCUUUCUCCGGUGGUGAAGGCCCUGUCCGUUGCGGCGGGGUUGACGGUAGCCGGGUAUGAAGCGCCGGCUAACUACGUG